AUUGAACGCUGGCGGCAGGCCUAACACAUGCAAGUCGAGCGGUAACACAAGGGAGCUUGCUUCUGAGGUGACGAGCGGCGGACGGGUGAGUAAUGCCUAGGGAUCUGCCCAGUCGAGGGGGAUAACAGUUGGAAACGACUGCUAAUACCGCAUACGCCCUACGGGGGAAAGGAGGGGACCUUCGGGCCUUCCGCGAUUGGAUGAACCUAGGUGGGAUUAGCUAGUUGGUGAGGUAAUGGCUCACCAAGGCGACGAUCCCUAGCUGUUCUGAGAGGAUGAUCAGCCASACUGGGACUGAGACACGGCCCAGACUCCUACGGGAGGCAGCAGUGGGGAAUAUUGCACAAUGGGGGAAACCCUGAUGCAGCCAUGCCGCGUGUGUGAAGAAGGCCUUCGGGUUGUAAAGCACUUUCAGUAGGGAGGAAAGGUGAUGUGUUAAUAGCACAUUGCUGUGACGUUACCUACAGAAGAAGGACCGGCUAACUCCGUGCCAGCAGCCGCGGUAAUACGGAGGGUCCGAGCGUUAAUCGGAAU
rnacentral:rRNA from 1 species